rnacentral:lncRNA from 7 species
AUUUUCCAUUACUUGGCACUUGGUAGAUGAUAUGUGCUAUCCCCUGGGGCUGGAAAAGUGCUGAUUAAUGUGAGCAAGUUGAGCAGAGUGCCACCAGCACGGUCAAUGGCUAGAGCAAAAUUCAUUUUGUGAAGCAGGCCAUAAGGAGAGUGUGGGAGACACUGUUCAGAAGGAGAUCAGCAGCUUUGUGGCCAAGUGUGAAGAUGACAGUGUUGAAAAUGAAGGAGAAUCUUAGGUCAUAAAUAAUUGCCUUGUGACCCAAACGACGGUUUGAACCAGUGGAAGAGAAUUCAGUAGUGGAAGAGCAGCUAUCUGUUCUCCUGGAAGCAUUCCAGAAGCACUAAAGUUGCCCAUAAAGUGAUGUUUUGAAGACUAGUCCAGCUGUUUCCAGUGCCUAUUUUUCAUUCCUUGGAGUGGACGGCCUCCUUUUUGAAUGUUGCUGCAUGGAGAGAGAAGAGAGUGAAGAGUUGGACCAGGAGGAUGGAAAGGAGAGGAAUGGAGUGGUGAAUGUUAAGUGGGGUUUCUGGAGCCAAAUGAAUGAUGGCAGGAGUUCACUAUUGUGGCAACAUCAAACAGUGACAAAUUAGAGAGCACUGAAUUCAAGAUUUUCUGCGCUGCCUUCACUUAUUCCCCCUAUGCUCUACUGCAUUCUGAUAACAGACUGGUAAUUUCAGCACCCAGCAAUAGCAGAUGGAAUCUAUUCAUCAUCCCAAUGACCCGGCACAUCAUAACCCACUCAUCAUCCAAUGACCCAGCACAUCUCUGUGUACCAGUCUGCAGUACCUCGGCGCUGCUGAGCUAUCAGGAGUAAACGAAGAAAACAGCUUGAGUGGCCUCCUGAUGCCAGCCAGAGCUUCCUUGUUCUUUUCCCCUUGGAAGCCCAUGGGUGACCUCCACAGACUGCAUUGAGCCACAUCUCAAGUGUGCCGGAGCUAACAUGCCACAGAAGGCUGUGACUCGUCGGGGCUGGGACCAUUCACUGUCACUAUCACAAGUGGAGAAACUUUUCUGUCAGGUGCCUGCGCAGUGUCUGAGACCCAGCCUGGCUUUUACAGCCCUAGAAGGAAGUGCUGAGUGCAUUGCUUUCUAAUCUUGCCCAGGGAGGUUUUCAGAGGAGAGGCUGUGCUGUAGGAAUCAGUGUAGGAUACAGAUGGAUCCAGCCAGCUUGCACUUGUUUGAGUCCACGAGGAGCAGUCGUGGGCCAGGCACUCGGGGAAAGUUCCCUUUGUCCCAUGGGAGAAGCACGUGGGCUUGGAAAGAUCCUUGAACCUGCGGAGGGGAGGAAUUUCUCCUUGGGCCUCAGAUGUCCCCCAGGGUGGUGCGGGGAGGAGCCCGAUGCUCCCAGCAUUGUCCGAGGCAGCAGCUGGUGGUGCUGUGUGACAAGGUUCUGCUGGCGCUGAGGUGCAGUGCUCAAGUGUGCUAGCAGGGGCAAUGACCCCUGGGGGAGUGGAACAGGUCAGGUUAUGGCUGCGGAGUCUGUCUUCUGUACAGAGGCAGUGAGCCCAUCCCAAGCUCCUUACCGCUCAUCCCAUCCUCUGGGGGAUGGAGAACUGCUUUUUUCCUUCCCCCUGUAGCGCCAGGAGAGCAAUCAGAACCUCUGAGCUAUGGAACAUCCUCCUUUCCCUCCUCCUCCUCUAGGAGGCCUGUUUUAACCUUUUGUCCCAUGCAGCAGCAAUGUCCAUAUGGCCCUUCACCUGCUAGGGCAAUGUUCCUUGUGGUCUCUCAGCCCAUGUGCUGAAUGCCACUCCUAUCCCAUUCCACCCUCCCUUUGGGUUUUGAGAUGCGAUUGAUCCGUUCUGCAAGUUCACACUGUGCUAACUCAGCACUCCCUGCAGUAUGUCCAACACUGUCCUGCUAAAAAAAAAGAAGUCACUUCU